AAGCUCAUUUUGAUGGCACAUAUCAUACAAUGGGUAUGGUACAGAGAGGAUUAGCAUGUCCUCUGUGCAAGGAUGACACACACAUUCUUGAACAUUCCAUACUUUAA
ensembl:snRNA U6 U6 spliceosomal RNA